GGGAGCCAGUACUUAAAGAUGGGGAGGGAGCUCUUUAUCGGGGAGUGUAAUGAUAGGACAAGGGGUAACGGUUUUAAAUUGAA